AUCACUUGUUAUUGCACCAAUAGAAAACAACCACAAAGAAAAUGUUCCGUUCAGUCGACCAAUCAUAACUUCCACUUCCUUUAAUGGAAAAAUCUGCUCAGGUCGUGGCAUUUGUCAGUAAGACUUGGUGAGCUGUCUUUUAACUCCCGUUCAUUGUCACGCAUGGAUAUGAUUCAUGUUUUUCUCAUUGUUCUUUUUGGUAAUUAAUGUGAUCAUUUUCAAGAUUUAUUGAUAUUUCAUCCUAUUUUGACGUUGAACUAAUGCUGUAAAAUAUGUCUGUUUUAUUGUGAUUUUGUAUAAAGCUGUGCAUGUUUUAACCUCUUCUAAUGUUUUUGUGUAUAGGUCCCGUAGGAGCUUUAUUUUCCAGCCACAAUUUGACCAGUGGGACAGUGUUGGAGAUGAUGGUCAGACCAGGAGAAAACAUAACUCUCUACUGUGACUGUAAAACUUCAACUGGAGAAUAUAUAGUGUGGUACAGGAAUUGCUCUCACGAGAAACAACCUUCUCUUGUUCUAACAACAAAGUUUGAGCAAAGACAAUAUAAACCCGGUAUUGAUUACCAAAACCUUCUGAAUCCAUUCCCUAAUUUCCAUCUUGUGAAAAAUUAUUCCUCUCAAUCGUAUGACCUGCUGAUCACAAACAUCACUUUUUCGGAUGAGGGCUUCUACUACUGUGGAACUGAACAGUCUAAGGUGAAGGAAAAAGAAACUAUUAAUCUUGAAUGCCUAUAUAGAUAUGGAAACCUCACCACAAAGAUCCUACUUCACCCCAGUGAGCCUCAAACCACUCAAAAACACUGUGGUACAUGUUGGAUGCUACUCUUCUCUCUGUGUCUAGCUUUUGUGGCCCUCUCAUCCCUGCUAUCUUCUCUUUUGAUAUAUUACCAUCACAAGACAGGUAACCGCUCUGUUUCAUUUGUAAAAAGAAAUUUUUCAUCACUUUAAUUCCAUGAUUAUUUGACCAUCACAGAGUUUUGUCUAGUAAAUUUUUUAAAUUCUUUUCCUAUUAUUAAAUUAGAAUUUUAGCAUAAUCACUUGUGAAGAAAAGAGGUUUUGUACAUUUCUUUUAAUUUGUUUUAAUCUUCGUAGCUAACAAACCUCCGGCUGAUGAGAAAAGAUAUGAGGGCAGAGACCAGAUAAGAAGAAAUCAGGUCAUAUUUCAUAUUUAUUGUCUUUGUAGUAUAGCUACAGUUUGAUUUUUUGCAGUAAUGACACAAAACUAUUUAGCUCUGAAAUCCAUUUAUCAUAUGUCAGUGCUUGAUGAUAAUUCUAAAUAAUUAUUCCAUUUUAGAAUGAAGAUGUGUGUUAUGCAGCACUGGAAAUCCAGCCAGCAUCCCAGAGACCAAAGAAGAGGAUCGCCCAGAGUUCAGAUUUCAGUGCCCACUCUACCAUUGAUAGUUUUCACAUGUAAUGAACUCUUUUUUUUCAGUGUGCUUAUUAAGUAUUGUUGAUAAGUAGUCUGUGCUACCAGAUCUGAAAGAUUAUGAUCUUUGUUUUUUCAAAAUCAAUGUAAGGAAGUGAUUACCUCCACAAGAAUUCUAAUGCUUAGAUAUUUAGAAAUAAUAAAUAUUUACUGUGUUAGCAAAGCUUUUAAAAUUGUGACUCGGUGUUGUAGUCGCUAACUUGGAAAUAUCAUUUUAACUUCUUAAUCCUCCUAUAACAAAUCCUUGGCAUUUAUGUGACCAUUGUAACACAUCUGUGUGCUGUGCUUUAAAACAGUGAAUUUUCAGAUACACUGUAGGCUACAAUAUUUUGAAAAAACCUAAUAAAGUUCAUUAAAAUGUAACCUAUUUUAACUGUGAAUAUUUUGCAUUUCCCUUACUGAUUGACAGCCUACCGUGAAAGAUUA
ensembl:lncRNA